AAAAAGCGGAAAAGAAAAUAACUAUGAUUCCCUUAGUAACGGCGAGUGAACAGGGAAAAGCCCAAAUUUGUAAUCUGGCACUUUUUACAAGUGUCCGAGUUGUAAUUUGUAGAACUGUUAUCCGCGCUGGACCAUGUACAAGUCUGUUGAAAAGCAGCAUCAUUGAAGGUGAAAAUCCUGUAGAUGAUAUGGACUACCAGUGCAUUUGUGAUACGGUUUCUAAGAGUCGAGUUGUUUGGGAAUGCAGCUCAAAGUGGGUGGUAAAUUCCAUCUAAGGCUAAAUAUAAGUGAGAGACCGAUAGCAAACAAGUACCGUGAGGGAAAGAUGAAAAGAACUUUGAAAAUAGAGUUAACAGUACGUGAAAUUGCUGAAAGGGAAACGUUUGAAGUUAGUUUUGUAUUCGUUGGAUCAGCUUCGCAAGGAGUGUAUUCUGAUGAUAAGCAAGUCAACAUCAAUCUAUGAGUGUCGGAGAAGGGUUUUGAGAAUGUAGCAAUUUUUAUUAAUUGUGUUAUAGCUUGAGACUUGGAUACGAUGCUUUGGAUUGAGGAACGCGUAGUAAGCUUUGAGCGGAUUCGAAAGGAUCUCCUUACUAUGGAUGU
rnacentral:rRNA from 1 species